rnacentral:rRNA from 1 species
ACUCAAAGGAAUUGACGGGGACUCGCACAAGCGGUGGAGCAUGCGGUUUAAUUCGAUGCAACGCGAAGAACCUUACCAGGUCUUGACAUACUGUUGCUGGGGUUAGAGAUAAUCCGUUUCUUCGGAACAACAGAUACAGGUGGUGCAUGGUUGUCGUCAGCUCGUGUCGUGAGAUGUUGGGUUAAGUCCCGCAACGAGCGCAACCCUUAUCAUUAGUUGCUAACAGUAAGAUGAGCACUCUAAUGAGACCGCCGGCGCAAGCCGGAUGAAGGUGGGGAUGACGUCAAAUCAUCAUGCCCCUUAUGACCUGGGCUACACGCGUGCUACAAUGGCUAGUACAAAGAGUUGCGAAGCCGCGAGGUGGAGCUAAUCUCACAAAGCUAGUCUCAGUUCGGAUUGUAGUCUGCAACUCGACUACAUGAAGUUGGAAUCGCUAGUAAUCGUGAAUCAGCAUGUCACGGUGAAUACGUUCUCGAGUCUUGUACACACCGCCCGU